rnacentral:rRNA from 1 species
UACGUAGGGCGCAAGCGUUGUCCGGAAUUAUUGGGCGUAAAGAGCUCGUAGGCGGUCUGUCGCGUCUGCUGUGAAAUCUCAGGGCUUAACCCUGAGCUUGCAGUGGGUACGGGCAGACUAGAGUGCGGUAGUGGAGACUGGAAUUCCUGGUGUAGCGGUGAAAUGCGCAGAUAUCAGGAGGAACACCGAUUGCGAAGGCAGCUCGCUGGGACGUAACUGACGCUGAGACGCGAAAGCGUGGGGAGCAAACAGG